CCUUCACGUGGUCUCCCCUGUGAGUAGUGCUUUUGGAGUGUUUAAAGUUAUCAUACUUAGAUUCUCCAAAGGCACGAAACGAAACAGCAUUAACCCCACAGCGAGAUUUCCGUGGACCUCGUGGCGAUAUCGGCCACCAAUAAAUACAUGUCCAAAUCUGCCUACAUAGUAUGAUGGAGCGUUUCAGUUCGUUUGAUUUAUGAUGUUCCUCGACAGCAGCAGCAGUGUCAACUCUCGAAAUGCCGUGAAAUACCUAUUACAACGAGUGCCAGUCAACACAAUACAAUUACUACUUCUGUCCAUCAUGUGUCGCAAACAUCUAAAAAGCAAUUUUAAAUCAACUUACUGGUGAAUAAAGAUGUUUUGGCCGUGUGAUGCUACAUAACAAAAUAAUUCGUUACGGAACACUAUUCAAAAGCUGUAGAAAAGUAACCAUUUUAUUGAAGAAUAAUUAUUCGUUGGUGUUCUGAUGGUUGAAUGAAAAAGCCCCGGCGAAGAAUUAUAGAGAAGCUGCGCGAGUGUCCAAAAUUCGAAUAUCUGAAAAACGACGAGAACUUCCUGUAAAGACAAUUAAUGAAAAAACAAGU